CGCCUGGGGAGUACGGGUGAGGUAACGGCUCACCAAGGCAUCGACGGGUAGCUGGUCUGAGAGGACGAUCAGCCACACUGGGACUGAGACACGGCCCAGACUCCUACGGGAGGCAGCAGUAGGGAAUCUUGCGCAAUGGGCGAAAGCCUGACGCAGCAACGCCGCGUGGGGGAUGAAUGCCUUCGGGUUGUAAACCCCUUUCAGCAGGGACGAAAAUGACGGUACCUGCAGAAGAAGCUCCGGCCAACUACGUGCCAGCAGCCGCGGUAAUACGUAGGGAGCGAGCGUUGUCCGGAAUUAUUGGGCGUAAAGAGCUCGUAGGCGGUUCAGUAAGUUGGGUGUGAAAACUCAAGGCUCAACCUUGAGACGCCACUCGAUACUGCUGUGACUUGAGUCCGGUAGAGGAGUGUGGAAUUCCUGGUGUAGCGGUGAAAUGCGCAGAUAUCAGGAGGAACACCAGCGGCGAAGGCGGCACUCUGGGCCGGUACUGACGCUGAGGAGCGAAAGCAUGGGGAGCAAACAGGAUUAGAUACCCUGGUAGUCCAUGCCGUAAACGUUGGGCACUAGGUAUGGGAUCAUAUCAACGGAUUCCGUGCCGUAGCUAACGCAUUAAGUGCCCCGCCUGGGGAGUACGG
rnacentral:rRNA from 1 species